UUCAAGAAUAUAAUAAUAUAAGUAUCGUUCCCUUUUCUCCACCUACCCAAAACUUUCUUCAACAACGGGUAGUCAAAAUUUAAGGGGAUGUUAUUUAAUUUUUGUAAGGUGGUAUCUCUUACAACUUUUUUUUUGUUAAAAGAUAAAAAAAAAAACGUUUCUCAACCUGAUUCAAUGGCGGUACAAUGAGUUUGAUUUAAAUACUGCAGCAUCUUGCCAGUUGAAGAUGAAGUUUAUUUAUUCGGCGGAAAUUUCUACAAUGCAAUCAGAUUCAUCUUUUGUUAAAGUUGUUUUUUUUUCCUUACAACGGCCGUAAUUUCCUUGAUUAAAUCUGUUGAUAUUCAAAAUGUAAUGGAUGCAUCUGCAAGCGUUGAUCCAUCACGUCUUCCAUCAAAGUGCAAAUGAAUUUGCGUGUGUUUAUAUUUAGUUUGUAAGAAACACAAAUUAUAAAUACAACAAGAGCAAGACAACAUUUGUUUGGUAAGAACCGAGAUGAUAUACACUGCAAGAGGAAGACAAUAUUUUGUUAAUAAGAACACAAAUGAUAUACAACAAGAAGACAACAUUUGUUUGAUAGAGACACAAAUUAUAUAUACAACUAUAGGAAGAAUUAUAUGACUUUUUUAAUGUCCUAAGGCAAAAUAUCAAGAAAAUUCACAUGUAUUUUGAGUUCACAUUUUGAGUUCUUGUUGAAUUAUUAAAAUUAGGGGACAAGUUAUUAAAUGUAUGGAUUUAUUAUUAACAAUAA